rnacentral:lncRNA from 1 species
CUCUAAGGCAUUGAAUGGCACUCCAGCCGCUCUACACCUCUCCUCCUCCUCUUCUCACAGUUAUGGCCAUGUCGGAUGGCGCAUAGCAUCAAUACCUUGAUGGCUUGCCAAACAGUUGGAAUAUGAUUUUUGCAAUUUUCGCAAGAACUCAACCAAAAAAUUAAACUCGACUCUAAGCCACCCCUCCACCCUGCUGCUCCUGCUACUGAUACUGCUG